rnacentral:rRNA from 1 species
GCUUUUUGAAAUUUAAAAGUUUUUUCUGCUCAGUGUUUAUUAACAGCCGCGGUACUUUGACCGUGCAAAGGUAGCAUAAUCAUUUGCCUCGUAAUUGGGGGCUAGAAUGAAGGAAUAAACGAAAGUUUUUCUUUAUUUUAAAAAUAAAAAUAAUUUUCUUUCUUAGUGAAGAAGCUAAAAUAACAAAGGGGACAAGAAGACCCUUUUGAGCUUUAUUUAGUUUCUAUUUAAAUAAAUUAAAUUUGGUUGGGGCGACCGAGGAAUAUCUUCCUUUAUUAUUUUGAUCCGUUUAUAACGAUUAAAAGAACAAGUUACCAAAGGGAUAACAGCGUAAUUCUUUCUGAGAGUUCUUAUUAAAUGAAGAGAUUGCGACCUCGAUGU